UACGUAGUGUGCGAGCGUUGUCCGGGAAUUAUUGGGCGUAAAGAGCUUGUAGGCGGUUUGUCGCGUCUGCUGUGAAAAUCCGGGGCUCAACCCCGGACUUGCAGUGGGUACGGGCAGACUAGAGUGUGGUAGGGGAGACUGGAAUUCCUGGUGUAGCGGUGAAAUGCGCAGAUAUCAGGAGGAACACCGAUGGCGAAGGCAGGUCUCUGGGCCACUACUGACGCUGAGAAGCGAAAGCAUGGGGAGCGAACAGGAUUAGA
rnacentral:rRNA from 1 species